rnacentral:rRNA from 1 species
UACGUAGGGUCCGAGCGUUGUCCGGAAUUACUGGGCGUAAAGAGCUCGUAGGUGGUUUGUCGCGUUGUUCGUGAAAACUCACAGCUCAACUGUGGGCGUGCGGGCGAUACGGGCAGACUAGAGUACUGCAGGGGAGACUGGAAUUCCUGGUGUAGCGGUGGAAUGCGCAGAUAUCAGGAGGAACACCGAUGGCGAAGGCAGGUCUCUGGGCCGAUACUGACGCUGGAGGAGCGAAAGCGUGGGGAGCGAACAGG